UACGUAGGCAGCAAGCGUUGUUCGGAAUUACUGGGCGUAAAGAGUGUGUAGGCGGUGCUCUAAGUCUGUUGUGAAAUCUCCCGGCUUAACUGGGAGGGUGCGGCGGAGACUGGAGUGCUAGAGUGUGGGAGAGGUAAGCGGAAUUCCUGGUGUAGCGGUGAAAUGCGUAGAUAUCAGGAAGAACACCCGUGGCGAAGGCGGCUCUCUGGUACGUGACUGACGCUGAGACGCGAAAGCGUGGGGAGCGAACAGG
rnacentral:rRNA from 1 species